rnacentral:lncRNA from 1 species
GGUUACAUAUAUCAAAACCAACAAUCAUAGCUUUAUAUCAUUUCUAAUUUAAGAAAAUGUAUCCAUUUCGCACGUUGUUCCAUCUUCAUCAUUUGUAUAGCAAGUAAUAUUACACAACAUCAUUAACCUGCAAAAAGUUUGUGUUUGCAAGAUUAAGCUCGACAACCUAGCAAAUUUAAGGUUUCACAUAACACACAACUCUAUGUUCGCCUCAUGCAACAUAUUUUCUUUUGAAUAUCUUACAUGCAUCAACAAUUAUUUGCAAUACAUAUACUCAUGCAUCAAUAAUUCUUCUACUAAACAUAUCAUUUAUGCAAUAUAAUUUCAUGCAAUUCAUCUAACAUGCUUUGUACAAUUCACAUUCUCAUACAAUAUAUGUUAUCACAUAUCACAUAUAAAUUGAAUUUCAUAACCCAAUUGACUUAGUCAUAUUUUGACUUUAAUAAUUCAAUAAACAUGGUAUGUAACUCACCAUAUAAUCUUAUAAUCCACAAACAUAAUAGAACUGAAAAACUUACGUUGAUUGGAGAUUACUACAAAAUUGUACUUAGAGUUUCUCCAUAAUUCCUACAUAAUUAUAUUUACAUGCACACACAUAUUAGAUAAUUAAAUAUGUUACCAAAACAUGCAUGUAUAUUUAAGAAUAAUAAUUAUUAGUUUUAUAGAAACUAACAUUAUUUAUUCUUGCUCAAAACGAAUAUUAGUUUAUUUAGAAACUUAAUUCGUUUUAACUUUUUUACACCAAAUAAAGGUCCCUCCAAUUUUACUAUGUAAAUACUUUACACUUAAAGCUUAAGUCAUUUAUAUUCCACUUUAGGAAUAUCUUUUGCCUUUAUUUGCGAAUCCAGGUUUUAAAUAGAUAUUAUAUAUCUUUUAUAAUAAAAACUCCAUUUACUAUAUUUUUUCUUGAUUUAAAUAAUUUUUAUAACUUUUUGCCCACUCUUGAAUCAACUCAGACCAUUGCCUCAUAUAAAAAUUUUACUUCGUUAGCAAAUUAGCUUCCUAUUUAAUCUCACACAUAAUUCGCAUUCUCACUUAUAUAUAUAUAUAUAUAUAUAUAUAUAUAUAUAUAUAUAUAUAUAUAUAACAAAUAUUGGCUCAAAUACCUCAUUUUGAACCCUAGAAACCUCAAAAAUAUCAUUUUCAUGAUUAAUACAAAUUUUUAAAGGUUUCUCGCCUUGCACCACAAAAUAAUUUUAUAGGCAAACUUGGUUUUUAUUUUGCUUAAAUAUGUAAAUUUAUAUUUAUUACAUAUUUUUAUUACUUUAUUUAUGCCCGAAAGGAAGUUUCUCGGCAUAAAAUAUUAUUUAUAGUCAAAUCUUUUCCCGUAGGACUUUAUUAGAUUUAUUAUGACUUAUUAUUUUGCCGGAACUCGAUUCGAAACGUCGAAUGUCAAAAUCGCUCGGCGCGUCGACGCUCGGCUUCGCCCAAAUUUUAGUUCUGACAUGCCUAUUCGCUCAUUUUUAACUCUCAAACCAUAAGUUCAAUAAUCGUAAAAUUUUUGGGAAAUCAAAGAUCUCAUGUCGUAUUAUUUUAGAAAAAUUUCAAACUGCAAAAAUAGUACACGAAACCCAAUCAAAAUAGCAUAUGAAAAGGAUGUUAAAUAGCAGUCAGCACAGCGCAGUGCCGCACUGCAGGCGCACGGAGCUGCGCGCGGCACUUCUGUUGCUGCACGUUCUGAGACAGCCACUUUGCGAUUUCCUCAUGGGUUGCUCGGAACUCCGAUUAAUUUGAUUUUAAAAUAUGUUGUACAUGGCAUACCAAAGUAUUUUUAAAAAAUAUCACCACUGAAAUUUGGGUAUAUUAAGUUGUCCAAACAAUGCAUCCAAAUAGGCUGUUCGCACUAGUUUUUCAACGUUGCAAUUUUAGUUCAAAAGUCGCCUCGACCCAAAUCAACCCGACUUUCUUAACAACUAACCUUACUUAAUCAUAUAUUUACAUGUUUAAGGUUUCAAAUCCUUAAAAUUAUGUGUUCUUGCUCGGAUUUGUUCUUUAUGGCCAUUUAACAAACAAAAUGCAUACGUUUUAUGUUUGACUUGGUUUCCUAACAAUUCGUUUGCAGUUUUUCUCCAACUUCAUCCUUAUAACAUUCCACAAACCAAACGUAAUCACCAAGUCUCUAUAUCCAUGAAUUCAACAUUAAUUCAAACACAAAAUCAAACUAAAAAUGAUUUUUAGUAAAUUAAAGCUUACUAAAAAAAUUCAAAUUUUAUUUCCUUGAUUCAAAACCAAUUCUAAUAACAUACUAUAUAUACAUAGAUCAGAACUUGAAUCAAUAUGAAGGAAUUUCAUUACAAAUUACCUCACAGCCUACUAAACUUCCAAAAUCUCAAGUUUAGUAAACAAAAAAAAAAUUACAUAUUCUAUAACUUCAAUUAAAUUCAAAAUUGAGUAAGGAUUUAUACCUCAUGCAAUUUAUCUUCUCUUUUUCCAAGCUUGAUAUCCUCUCAUAUAUCCUAAUCUUUGGUUCCAAUUUGUCCAAACUCCCUCAAACAUACAAUUCUUCACUUAUUCAAUUUUGGAAAAUUACAAAUAUUCAGGCAAUUUGGGAGAGAGAUGGCUCUUUUAUGGAGAAGGAGAAAGAAGAAGACUUUUCAUCAAAUGUCAACAACAAAUCCUUGGUGCCCAAGCAUGAAUAGGGAGUAAACUUCACACUUCUUUAUCUCCUCAAACUAACGGCAAGAAGAAAA